AUUGAACGCUGGCGGCAGGCCUAACACAUGCAAGUCGAGCGGAUGAAGGGAGCUUGCUCCUGGAUUCAGCGGCGGACGGGUGAGUAAUGCCUAGGAAUCUGCCUGGUCGUGGGGGAUAACGUCCGGAAACGGGCGCUAAUACCGCAUACGUCCUGAGGGAGAAAGUGGGGGAUCUUCGGACCUCACGCUAUCAGAUGAGCCUAGGUCGGAUUAGCUAGUUGGUGGGGUAAAGGCCUACCAAGGCGACGAUCCGUAACUGGUCUGAGAGGAUGAUCAGUCACACUGGAACUGAGACACGGUCCAGACUCCUACGGGAGGCAGCAGUGGGGAAUAUUGGACAAAGGGCGAAAGCCUGAUCCAGCCAUGCCGCGUGUGUGAAGAAGGUCUUCGGAUUGGAAAGCACUUUAAGUUGGGAGGAAGGGCAGUAAGUUAAUACCUUGCUGUUUUGACGUUACCAACAGAAGAAGCACCGGCUAACUUCGUG
rnacentral:rRNA from 1 species